CGUUAGUUCUUGUUCCAGAGCUUCGUCUGACACGCCAGCUAGCGAGCCGCUUCUGCCGCCCUCUUUCUCCCUCAGCUCUUCUUCCUUUGCUCAGUUUGUUGGGAACGUGAAAGGAGAAGGCCCGGGACGCCCCAAAACCCCUUCUGUUCCUGCCCAUCGCAAGUGCCACUACUGCCAUGGGCCUCACCAUCUCCUCCCUUUUCUCCCGUCUCUUCAGCAAGAAGCAGAUGUGCCUUUUGAUGGUUGGAUUGGAUGCUGCUGGCAAGACGACCAUUCUGUAUAAACUGAAGUUAGGGGAGAUAGUCACCACCAUUCCUACCAUUGGUUUUAAUGUGGAAACAGUAGAAUAUAAGAACAUUUGUUUCACAGUAUGGGAUGUUGGUGGACAAGAUAAAAUUAGGCCUCUCUGGAGGCAUUACUUCCAAAACACCCAGGGUCUUAUUUUUGUGGUAGAUAGUAAUGAUCGUGAAAGAAUUCAGGAAGGAGCUGAAGAGCUGCAGAAAAUGCUUCAGGAAGAUGAGUUGCGAGAUGCAGUGUUGCUGCUUUUUGCGAACAAACAGGAUUUGCAAAAUGCUAUGGCCAUCAGUGAAAUGACAGAUAAAUUAGGUCUUCAGUCUCUUCGUAACAGAACAUGGUAUUUUCAAGCCACUUGUGCUACACAAGGAACUGGUCUGUAUGAGGGACUUGACUGGCUCUCAAACGAGCUUUCAAAACGUUAAAUGAAACUGGAUAUCUAACCAAGGACACAUUUGAUAGAAUUGGUCUAGGCUUGUUACAACAAAAUUAGUUUGCAUCUUGGUUAUUAAACAGUAUCUGGGACUGGUUUGGGCAGAAUAUUACAGGGUUUAAACUUAUUUUGUUGCCAAUUAUUGUUGACCAAGUAUAAUAUUGCUAUUUAGCAAUAUGCUUGGUUUUAAAGAAAUUCUCCUUAACUUGGGAAAAAGGUGUCCUCUUUUAAUUGUAAUUCCCUUAAGACUAAAUGCCUGGACAUAGCUAUUGUGACACCUUUAAAUAAAUCCCUUUUGAAUGUUUUUUGAGCCCAUGAGAAAUAAUGUUUUAAAGUUAUCUCCUUGCUACUUUACUGACACCUUUAUCAUUCCUGGGACAGGCUGCUGAUUUAAAAAAUGUAGCAUUCCAUUUGUAUUUAUUUUUCUCCCUUGCCAAAAAGAUCUUCUAAUACUGCUUGUACCAGCCAGGGAAAUGCUCCAAAACACUAUUCAGAUCUCUUGCACUGAGGAACUUAUAUUUCCACCCCCCUUCUUGAAUCCUGGCUUUCAUCAGCCAAGCUUACCUUAGUGUGGUUUGGAUUUGAUAGCUAAUUAGGUUCUGUGCUGGUUGCAAAGAGUUCAUAUUGAGAUGAUUUUUAAUACCCAGCAGAUUGUCUUCCUUUAUAUUGUAUGUUUUUUAUGUUGCAUGUUGCUUUUUGGUAUCAGCCUGACUCUUUGCCCAGUAUAUGACAGUUCUGCUGAUGUUUUGUUUAUCGGUGAACAUAUCUUCAUUAAGAGUUUUUGGAAAACUCAUCAAACUCAGUAAGUUUUCUUCAUAACCCAUUUGGAAUUAUUCCUAAUAAAAUG